rnacentral:rRNA from 1 species
AAAGAAAGUAAGCAAGGGCGCAUGGCGGAUGCCUUGGCUCUCGGAGGCGAUGAAGGACGUGAUAAGCUGCGAUAAGCUCUGGGUAGGUGCAAAUAACCUUUGAUCCAGAGAUUUCCGAAUGGGACAACCCGGCAUUCUGAAGGAAUGUCAUCCAUCUUUGAUGGAAGCUAACGCAGGGAACUGAAACAUCUUAGUACCUGUAGGAAAAGAAAAUAAUAAUGAUUCCCCUAGUAGUGGCGAGCGAACGGGGAAUAGCCCAAACCACCCAUGUUACGGCAUGUGUGGGGUUGUAGGACCACGAUGUCGCAAGACAUUUGAUGAGUAGAAUCCUCUGGAAAGUUGAACCAUAGACGGUGAUAGUCCGGUAUACGAAGUCAAAUUAAGCGUAGUGGUAUCCUGAGUAGCGCGGGACACGAGAAAUCUUGCGUGAAUCUGCCGGGACCAUCCGGUAAGGCUAAAUACUCCCGAGAGACCGAUAGCGAACCAGUACUGUGAAGGAAAGGUGAAAAGCACUUCGAAUAGAAGAGUGAAAUAGUCCCUGAAACCGUGCGCCUACAAGCGGUCGGAGCUGCUUAAGCAGUGACGGCGUGCCUUUUGCAUAAUGAACCUACGAGUUACUUUUUCCGGCAAGGUUAAGCAUCUUGAGAUGUGCAGCCGAAGCGAAAGCGAGUCUGAACAGGGCGUCGAGUCGGAAGGAGUAGACGCGAAACCAAGUGAUCUACCCUUGGUCAGGUUGAAGGUUAGGUAACACUAACUGGAGGACCGAACCGAUAAGCGUUGAAAAGCUUCCGGAUGAACUGAGGGUGGGGGUGAAAGGCUAAUCAAACUUGGAGAUAGCUCGUACUCCCCGAAAUGCAUUUAGGUGCAGCCUUGUGAGUUACUAAUGUGAGGUAGAGCGACUGAUAAGAUGCGAGGGCUUCACCGCCUAUCAAGUCUUGAUAAACUCCGAAUGCGCAUUAGUUCUAUCACAGGAGUGAGGGCAUGGGUGCUAAGGUCCAUGUCCUAAAGGAGAAGAAUCCAGACCAUCAGCUAAGGUCCCCAAAUAAACACUAAGUUGAACUAACGAAGUCAGAUUGCUAAGACAGCUAGGAUGUUGGCUUGGAAGCAGCCAUUCAUUUAAAGAGUGCGUAACAGCUCACUAGUCGAGGAGUUUGGCGUGGAUAAUAAUCGGGCAUUAAGUGUUUUACCGAAGCUAUGGAUCAGUAAUGAUCGGUAGGGGAGCAUUCCACUCUGCGUCGAAGGUGAAGCGUGAGCUUUGCUGGAGCGUGUGGAAAAGCAAAUGUAGGUAUAAGUAACGAUAAAGGGGUGAGAAACCCCCUCGCCGAAAGACUAAGGUUUCCUGAUCAACGCUAAUCGGAUCAGGGUUAGUCGGGUCCUAAGGCUCAGCCGAACGGUGAGGCCGAUGGCAGAACAGGUUAAUAUUCCUGUACUACCUUAAGGAGUGACGUGGAGACGGAGCAGUGACAGCGCCGCGGACUGACGGAAUAGUCCGUUGAAGGGUGUAGAUGUUGAUCAUCCCAGGCAAAUCCGGGAUGAGAGUCGAACCUGAUAGUAUGGAGCGUUCUUCGGAACAAUCCAAUAGUGCGUGUAAGCAUACUCCCAAGAAAAUCCGCUAAACUUAAUCCUUAAGGUACCCGUACCGCAAACGGACACACGUAGUCGGUUGAAUAUACUAAGGCGCUUGAGUGAUUCACGGUUAAGGAACUAGGCAAA